rnacentral:tRNA from 1 species
GGCAAUAUGGCUCAGUGGCAGAGUUCUUGCCUUGCAGGCGCAAGGUCCUGGGUUUGAUCCCCAGUGCCACCA